rnacentral:rRNA from 1 species
AUUGAACGCUGGCGGUAUGCCUUACACAUGCAAGUCGAACGGUAGAGGGGCAACCCUUGAGAGUGGCGAACGGGUGAGUAACACAUCGGAACGUGCCCAGUCGUGGGGGAUAACGUAGCGAAAGCUACGCUAAUACCGCAUACGACCUGAGGGUGAAAGCGGGGGAUCGCAAGACCUCGCGCGAUUGGAGCGGCCGAUGGCAGAUUAGGUAGUUGGUGGGGUAAAGGCCUACCAAGCCUGCGAUCUGUAGCUGGUCUGAGAGGACGGCCAGCCACACUGGGACUGAGACACGGCCCAGACUCCUACGGGAGGCAGCAGUGGGGAAUUUUGGACAAUGGGCGCAAGCCUGAUCCAGCCAUACCGCGUGCGGGAAGAAGGCCUUCGGGUUGUAAACCGCUUUUGUCAGGGAAGAAAUCUUCUGGGCUAAUACCUCGGGAGGAUGACGGUACCUGAAGAAUAAGCACCGGCUAACUACGUGCCAGCCGCCGCAGUAAUAC